rnacentral:rRNA from 1 species
AACGGCCGUACCAUGCUGAAUAUACCGGUUCUCGUUAGAUCACCGAAGUUAAGCAUCAUUGGGCGCGGUCAGUACUUGGGUGGGUGACCAUCUGGGAACACUGCGUGCCGUU